rnacentral:rRNA from 1 species
AGAGUUUGAUCAUGGCUCAGGACGAACGCUGGCGGCGUGCUUAACACAUGCAAGUCGAGCGGAAAGGCCCUUUCGGGGGUACUCGAGCGGCGAACGGGUGAGUAACACGUGAGUAAUCUGCCCUUGGCUUUGGGAUAACUACCGGGAACGGUGGCUAAUACCGAAUACGACCACUCCUUGCAUGAGGUGGUGGUGGAAAGUUUUUUCGGCCAGGGAUGUGCUCGCGGCCUAUCAGCUUGUUGGUGGGGUAAUGGCCUACCAAGGCUUCGACGGGUAGCCGGCCUGAGAGGGUGACCGGCCACACUGGGACUGAGACACGGCCCAGACUCCUACGGGAGGCAGCAGUGGGGAAUAUUGGACAAUGGGCGGAAGCCUGAUCCAGCAACGCCGCGUGAGGGAUGACGGCCUUCGGGUUGUAAACCUCUUUCAGUACCGACGAAGCGCCGAUGAUGGUGGUGACGGUAGGUACAGAAGAAGCACCGGCCAACUACGUG